AGAGGCAAAAAUAUUUGUUAACUGCUCAUGGCAUUGGACUUGAUCAUGAAGAAGGGAAAUGACAAGCACUGGUGCUCCGAGAAACACAAAGGACUUACUCCAGUGAAGAUAAUCCUUGGCCCUUUAAAUAUUCAAGGUAAAACUUCUUGGG
rnacentral:lncRNA from 1 species